rnacentral:lncRNA from 1 species
GAGGCCACUUAGGCCGUUGCCAUAGCACAGCUGAGAGUGGACGGUGGCUCCCACCAGGCUGGAGUGGAGGAGGCAGAGAGGGACGGGAUUCCCGCCAUGCCUGGCGAUGGGCCAGCGUAUCCCUGGCACGUGCGGCUAAGAGAGGACUCGAGAUGGGCCCUGGUUUUCCCCUGAGGAGGUCUCCACCUGAGGAGGGGAGGCUGUGGGAGAAGAACUUCCCCGGAGCACCAGACGCCCGCGCUGGCUUGGGGAGCCCGCAACGCCCGCCACGCAGAAGGGGUGUUGGACACCCAGCUGGAAAGGAGUUCAAAGGUGAGUGUGGGCUGGAGGUCGUGGGGAGCAGCUUCAUCAGAGACUUCACGUAAAUAAAGGGGGUGCUGAGCUCAGAGCUGAGGCCCAGAGCGUACGGGCCUUCAAGAUGCAGCAGAACUGCUGGGGGCUGUGGAAGGGCUGUGGGCGCGAGGGCGCCCAGGGGGCCUGGUGUCCUCUGAGCGGCACGUCUGUGCCACCCAGGUGCUGACGGAGCCCCAGAGGAGCACCGCAGUGGCACACCACAUGGCCGGUGGGGGCAGAGGACUGGGGUUCCUAAGAGGACUCGAAGGUGCCCUUGCCGAGAGUGCAGGUCAGCUCAGCGGAGCAGCAGGCGGGGGAGAGGCAGGUCGAGCGCUGGCUUAGCGUAGGGAAACGGGGACCCAGGAG